UACGUAGGGUGCAAGCGUUGUCCGGAAUUAUUGGGCGUAAAGGGCUCGUAGGCGGUCCAUCGCGUCGGGAGUGAAAAGCUGGGGCUUAACCCCAGUCCUGCUUUCGAUACGGGUGGACUAGAGGUAGGCAGGGGAGAACGGAAUUCCUGGUGUAGCGGUGAAAUGCGCAGAUAUCAGGAGGAACACCGGUGGCGAAGGCGGCUUCCUGGACCGACACUGACGCUGGAGGCGCGAAAGCUAGGGGAGCAAACGGG
rnacentral:rRNA from 1 species